GACGAACGCUGGCGGCGUGCUUAACACAUGCAAGUCGAACGGGAGUAUCGAAGAAGCUUGCUUUUAAGAUACUUUAGUGGCGGACGGGUGAGUAACGCGCGAGGAGCUGUCCUAUGCAGGGGGACAACAGCUGGAAACGACUGCUAAUACCCCAUAAGCCGAGAGGUAAAAGGAUAUAUCCGGCAAAGGAGGUACUCGCGUCCUAUCAGCUAGUAGGUGAGGGAACGGCUCACCUAGGCGAAGACGGGUAGCCGGCCUGAGAGGGCGAACGGCCACACUGGAACUGAGAUACGGUCCAGACUCCUACGGGAGGCAGCAGUGGGGAAUAUUGGGCAAUGGGGGGAACCCUGACCCAGCGACGCCGCGUGGGUGAAGAAAUCCUUCGGGAUGUAAAGCCCUGUUGUAUGGGAAGAGCAGAAGACGGUACCAUACGAGGAAGCCCCGGCAAACUACGUGCCAGCCGCCGCGUAACAC
rnacentral:rRNA from 1 species